AUUGACAUAGGGACGAGGUCGGUCGCGCUGCAUCCAUCGAUACCUUCUUUGCCGCCUAAAGUACUUGAAGCUGUGAAGCUGAGAGAGAAAGAACCCAGUCGUCUUGGGACUACCACAUCGGCAAAGAUUCAAAAGUUACAAAUUUCGAUUCAUUGACAAACAAGAUGCAGAACUUCCUAUCUCUCAUACUCUUCCUUUGCGUCGCUGUAGGCCUGACAGGCGCAGCCUCCGACUACGAGGCCCUUUUCGACCAAAUAGACGCAUGUAAAAAGCCCGCGGAAAAACUUAUGUGCGUCCGAUGCGCAGAGAAGUUCGAACUCGGGCUAACAGAACAGGAAUGCUGCACAACCGAAGUCGGAUACAACGUCUGUGAUAUCUGCGUAAAUGAUAUGGAGGAAUGCCUGGCAAUCCGGGACGAAUUUUAUUCGGGGGUAUUGCAGAAACGCCAAGAAAAGAAGAGGUUUGGUCGAUUGUUUUUCAACAAGAAAGGGGACGACAUGCGAAAACGGUUUGGAACCGUGUUUUUCGGCGGAAAAGACCAGCCGUAUUUCGGAAAAGCCAAACGCGAAGUGAAGAAGUCCCAAUAAGCUGUCAAUUCGUCGAUAAAAAAAAUUAGUUUAUUGUAUUGCAAAUCAAUCUAAAGCAUUUUUAGAACAUUUUUUUGAUAAUUCGAUAUAGUAGGCCUUUUAUUUAGAAGUAGUGUGGAUAUCUAUGAAGGCCAACGGCGGCAUUCGGGAGGGCCAUCAUUAAGUUCGGUUAAUGGCUAAAAACUUUCAGAAAAUGUGUAAUUAACCCCAAAACGAAAUAAAGGAUCAACACUGACAGCAUUAACCACCAUUUCAGAAAGUGCCGAGUUUCUCAACAAGUGGUGGUGUGACCAAGACGGAGACGGUCUGGUGACUAAUUUUCAUUGAAGAGCUUCCGCAUUGCAUCGCUCACGAAAUACAAUUACCAAUUUGAUACGAAAUCUUUGAUAUCGAACAGAUUACAUUCACAUUCAGUUAUUGAUGGACGACCCAGAGACACACUUACAGUAAUAACAGCAGUGGGAAGAGCCGGCAUAUGUGCUGCCAGCUUUGCUUUCUUGAUGGAACCGAGCCGAUAUUUCAGUCUGGCAGCGUGAGGAUGACUUCUACAGUGUUCGGCUUAUCAUUCUCACUCAAUGUUUCAUUGAUAAAUAAAAUUAUCACAAGUCAAUCUA